rnacentral:rRNA from 1 species
UGGGGAAUAUUGCACAAUGGGCGCAAGCCUGAUGCAGCCAUGCCGCGUGUAUGAAGAAGGCCUUCGGGUUGUAAAGUACUUUCAGUCGGGAGGAAGGUGGUAAGGUUAAUAACCUUGGCAAUUGACGUUACCGACAGAAGAGGCACCGGCUAACUCCGUGCCAGCAGCCGCGGUAAUACGGAGGGUGCAAGCGUUAAUCGGAAUUACUGGGCGUAAAGCGCACGCAGGCGGUUGAUUGAGUCAGAUGUGAAAUCCCCGGGCUUAACCCGGGAAUUGCAUCUGAUACUGGUCAGCUAGAGUCUUGUAGAGGGGGGUAGAAUUCCAUGUGUAGCGGUGAAAUGCGUAGAGAUGUGGAGGAAUACCGGUGGCGAAGGCGGCCCCCUGGACAAAGACUGACGCUCAGGUGCGAAAGCGUGGGGAGCAAACAGG